AAUAGAUACCCAGGUAGUCCAUGCCGUAAACGAUGUCUACUAGCCGUUGGGGCCUUUGAGGCUUUAGUGGCGCAGCUAACGCGAUAAGUAGACCGCCUGGGGAGUACGGUCGCAAGACUAAAACUCAAAUGAAUUGACGGGGGCCCGCACAAGCGGUGGAGCAUGUGGUUUAAUUCGAUGCAACGCGAAGAACCUUACCUGGCCUUGACAUACUAAGAACUUUCCAGAGAUGGAUUGGUGCCUUCGGGAACUUAGAUACAGGUGCUGCAUGGCUGUCGUCAGCUCGUGUCGUGAGAUGUUGGGUUAAGUCCCGCAACGAGCGCAACCCUUUUCCUUACUUGCCAGCAUUUCGGAUGGGAACUUUAAGGAUACUGCCAGUGACAAACUGGAGGAAGGCGGGGACGACGUCAAGUCAUCAUGGCCCUUACGGCCAGGGCUACACACGUGCUACAAUGGUCGGUACAAAGGGUUGCUACUGCGCGAGCAGAUGCUAAUCUCAAAAAGCCGAUCGUAGUCCGGAUCGC
rnacentral:rRNA from 1 species